GGGCCCAUAGCUCAGUUGGUAGAGCGCCGCUAUGGCAUGGCGGAGGUCGAGGGUUCAAGUCCCUCUGGGUCCA
rnacentral:tRNA from 1 species